GCGGAUCCUGCACACAGUCACUGUGAAAACUGAGGCCAGGCCCUGGCCACCAAUGCACUGAUCCCUGAGCCUGCUGUCUUCAAAAACUUAAACGUCGCUGAUACAGAAUGACUAAGGAAACUACAGAACUCGUCUGCCAAGGCAGGACCGACUAUCAGGGGUUAAACUAAUAACUGACAGACAGGACUUCCCUGAUAUGACUCAGGAGCUUCUGGCAGAACAGGCUGGGGAACAGAGAUUGUGAGUCACAAAUAAGGACCCCCCCCCCCCCCCCAGGUUAAAGGGGAAGUUUUCUCCAAUCACACAGGAAACAAAGUGAAAAUCCUGAUGGCAGCACCACCAGAUUCACAGCCAGUAAAAGGUCUGCCUUCACUUUGAGUGUAAAUGGAGAAGAAUAUAAGAAAUAACUCAAAAUCAGUGAAGGUGAAAAAGAGAAUUGACACAGUGAGGAUGGAGUUUAAAGCGCCCAACCCUAUAAAAGUACUGAAAACUGUCUAGCAGCAAUCAGAAUGAAAGGCACAAGCUUUCCACAAUCUGCAGUAUACCUCACAAUUUUACUGCCAUUGGAAACAGUAAAUGGUAGAUGUAUGGUAGACUCCAUACUAGCAGCCUAGUGAAGCUCCUAAAAAUGCAGACUGAACACAUAAUCGAGAAGUCACCAUGGAAGAAUGUGAUCGGGGUGUGACGCAGGACCAUUCCAGGAAUGAACUUUUAAACAAACUCAAAAAUUCCUCCAUUUAUAUUCCAAAUACAAAGAAGAUACAAAGUAACAUUGUGUAGGAUGGAAAUAAUGGUCAAGUGAAUGCUACAGUACAGUCUGCUGCCAUCACAGAAUGCUGGGGGUUGUAGUUUUGCACAGCAGAAGAGCCACAGGUUGGACCAGGUAGUGAGAAGACAUCAGAGACCAGUGCCUACCACACGCGUUUUAUAUAUUCCCACCUACUAAUACCCAUGGGUUUUUGGAAUGUUCAGGUUUACUUUAUUUGCUGAAAAGAAAAGAAUGUCCGUACUGUAGCAGUCCAUCUGAACAUGCAGCGCAGUGCCUGGUACCGCCGUAAACUGUACACAGGACCCUGCUAACGGCCAAGUCAAAAAUCCUGACAAUAACCCAGAAGCAAAAAUACCCCAGAAAAGCAAUAGGAGUGUAGAAUAUGUGGGAGACGUCCAAGUUAGAGGCAAUCACUCUGCUCAUUCUAUUCAUAGGUGGCAUUAAAUGGUCCGUGUAAACAGCGCCACCCUCACCUAUGGCUGAACCUGGUAUUGCAGCUCAAGUCAAUAGACAGCCCAGGGCAAGAGUUUCUGGAGAAAACAAAGCAGAAGCUAAAAUGUUUCUGGCCUCUAGUUUGGCCUGUCCACAUCUGCAUCGGAAGCCUCCAUCACAGUUCUCGUCAGUGCAGCACGAGCGCCUUCUCAAUGCGACAGACACUGCAACCGAACCCAUUAUAUAAGUCAGUAGGAGCGGUUAACCUAUGGAUCCGACACUGCAUCCUGUUUCCUGUUUAUAGCGCAAACCAUGACACAGAUAUGAACAGAGCCUUACGCAGCCAUUGACUUCUGCUUUAAUAGAGAGCUGCCCAGACCAGGAAUCAGCCUCCUUCAGCAUGCCAGCUGCUGUGAAACUACAACUCCCAGCAUGCAAACAUGCUUGGCUCCUCUUUUAACUCCUAUAGAAGUGAACUAAGCAUUCUGGUAGUUGUAGUUUCUGAAAAGCUGGAGGUUGCUGAUCCCUGAACUAGACUAACACAAUGUAACAACACCUCAGCUGUGUGAGCAGGUCUCGUGCAAAUGACACAUGUGCAUGAUAUCUUAGAAAAGACAGCUCGUAUUGACUCUGUGACCUGUGUCAGAUAUGAUCAGGAUGGGUUUUCAGCUUCUGCAUGCUAACAAUGUUUCCAUUCACUGACAGCAAACCGUGAUAUACAGAGUAUAUUAGAUAACAGCAAAAUGUUUUAAUAUACAGAUGAAAGCUGGAUCCCUCGCCAUACGGUGUCCUAUGUAGCAUAGCUCCCCUUUUGACCUGGCAGUGAACAGGAACUGCACCUCCAGUAAGUACUCAGAAUACUCCUCCUGGCAGAACAAGCUUCAUUCAGCGAAUCCGGAAAAAGGUCUGCCUGCCCAGAGCGUGUUUAUAUGUGCAGCAGACGCACCGCACCCUUCAGUAACCGUACCUACAACAAGAAGCCAGUGUACUCCGCUCCGAGCCACGACGCACCAACAAACCUCCACUUUUACGAAGGGAAACGAGGAGCAGCCAAAACCGUACGGUAACUAGAAGAGGGACGGGAAAUCGCCAUGAUCUCCAUGAACAGUCUCCUUAAAAGGGACUCUACCAUCUCAAACAGGUUUUCUGGGUCCUAGAUAUCCAUGACGCAUCCACAAGAUGGUCAGAUAGUAGGUGACGGCAGCAUCUUUCUCCAUAAUCCUCUAGCAGUCCCAAACCCGAAGCAGAUCGGCCGGCACCGCUCCUGUCAGUUCAAUAAUGGCUCAAAUCCUACUUAUCACAGUCAACUACCUUAUGCAUCACCCCCAAUUCCUCAUAGAUUGUAAGCUCUCGCGAGCAGGGCCCUGAACCCUAUGAAUGUAUAAAGAGCUGCGGAAUAUGGUGGCGCUAUAUAAAUACAUUUUAUUAGUAUUAUUAUAAAUUCUUUAUUAAUAGUUAGUCCAUGACAAAUGUACAAAAAAGGCCAAUCAAAGCAGACACGUUUCGACUACGCAGUAGUGUAUUGUUUCAGUCAAAUUGGGUCGGGUUCACACAAGGGCACAGAAACAAGAUCUCACAUUUUACUAGAGAUGGUUUCUGAUGUUCUUCUUAAAGCCGCAGCGCUAGGAAAACCUCCAAGAGCUGCUCCUUUGGGAAAUGGCAAUUGUGGUGCCAAAUACUGUACAAGCAGCUGGUUGUGAUUUUCCCUUAAGACAUUCGGAGCAUCAAAGAUGUAAAUAUAAAUUAACUUCAAUGUGACAUCUAUGAACGAUUCCAGAUUGUGGUAAAGAAUGCGCCUGCAGGACAAGUGCUGAUCUAAUGUAUCAAAUCUAAGUCAUAUUUUUGUUGCUGUGCUUGACCUUUCUUGAAGUUUCCCUUUUUAUGACUAGAAAUGUGUGACGUGGAUUACGUGGCGUCACCUCCUCGGGUUCUCACCGUUAUUAUCAGGAAACCAAUAAUAAAUAUUUACUCUACGUCUGACUCUCUGAGGAUGUAUGUAUACCGCACCAAACAUCCUAUUGAUGGACUCCACCGCAAUAUCACAUGAGAGAGUAACAAACAGAAAUCUAGAAGAAUUCUAAACAGUUGAUUACAUUGUAUUGCAGUCAGUUGUAAAUGAAGGAACAUGAACAUAGAAUUUAUAUAAGGAGAAAACUGAUUUACAGGGUAGCUUCACUAGAUAUCACGUGCAAGAAUAUACCAUAAUACUGCCUCCUAUGUACAAGAAUAUAACUACUAUAAUACUGCCUCCUAUGUACAAGAAUAUAACUAAUAUA